UGAGUACGAGAUGCUACGGCAUCGAAGCAGUCUAUGUCAUACUUCCAAGAAAAGCUUGCAAUGUCAUAAACAAAUAAUGCCUGUACCAUAACCGACACAGGUGGGUAGGUAGAGUAUACUAAGGGGCGCGAGAUAACUCUCUCUAAGGAACUCGGCAAAAUGACUCCGUAACUUCGGGAGAAGGAGUGCCUUAUUUUUAUAAGGUUGCAAUAACAAGAUCCAAGCAACUGUUUACCAAAAACACAGGUCUCCGCUAAGUCGUAAGACGAUGUAUGGGGGCUGACGCCUGCCCAGUGCCAGAAGGUUAAAGAAGUUGGUUAGCAUUAGCGAAGCUGAUAACUGAAGCCCUGGUGAACGGCGGCCGUAACGAUAACGGUCCUAAGGUAGCGAAAUUCCUUGUCGGGUAAGUUCCGACCCGCACGAAAGGCGUAAUGAUUUGGAUACUGUCUCGGAGAGGGGCUCGGUGAAAUAGACUUGUCUGUGAAGAUGCGGACUACCUGCACCUGGACAGAAAGACCCUAUGAAGCUUUACUGUAACUUGAGAUUGAAAUUGGACUUUAUCUGCGCAGUAUAGGUGGGAGACGUUGAAAAUAUUCUUGCGGGAAUAUUGGAGUCAUCAGUGAGAUACCACUCUUAUAAUGUUAGAUUUCUAACUUUGUAUCAUUAUCUGGUCAAAGAACAGUUUCAGGCGGGCAGUUUGACUGGGGCGGUCGCCUCCCAAACGGUAACGGAGGCGCACAAAGGUUUCCUCUGAACGUGUAGAAAUCGUAUCUAGAGUGUAAAGGCAUAAGGAAGCUUGACUGUGAGACCUACAAGUCGAGCAGGGACGAAAGUCGGUCUUAGUGAUCUGACGGUGCUGAGUGGAAAGGCCGUCACUCAACGGAUAAAAGUUACUCUAAGGAUAACAGGCUGAUCUCCCCCAAGAGUUCACAUCGACGGGGAGGUUUGGCACCUCGAUGUCGGCUCAUCGCAUCCUGGGGCGGUAGUACGUCCCAAGGGUUGGGCUGUUCGCCCAUGAAAGCGGUACGCGAGCUGGGUUCAGAACGUCGUGAGACAGUUCGGUCCAUAUCCGGUGUAGGCGUUAGAAUAUUGAGAGGAGCCUUCUUUAGUACGAGAGGACCGAGAAGGACAUACCUCUGGUGUACCAGUUAUCGUGCCAACGGUAAACGCUGGGUAGCCAUGUAUGGAGAGGAUAACCGCUGAAAGCAUCUAAGUGGGAAGCCCACCUCAAGAUAAGUA
rnacentral:rRNA from 1 species